GAUGAACGCUAGCGGCAGGCUUAACACAUGCAAGUCGAGGGGUAUAGUAGCAAUACUAGAGACCGGCGCACGGGUGCGUAACGCGUAUGCAAUCUACCUUUUACAGAGGGAUAGCCCAGAGAAAUUUGGAUUAAUACCUCAUAGUACAACGACCUGGCAUCAGGAUGUUAUUAAAGUCACAACGGUAAAAGAUGAGCAUGCGUCCCAUUAGCUUGUUGGUGGGGUCACGGCCCACCAAGGCGACGACGGGUAGCCGGCCUGAGAGGGUGACCGGCCACACUGGGACUGAGACACGGCCCAGACUCCUACGGGAGGCAGCAGUGGGGAAUAUUGCGCAAUGGGCGAAAGCCUGACGCAGCGACGCCGCGUGAGGGAUGACGGCCU
rnacentral:rRNA from 1 species